rnacentral:rRNA from 1 species
GACGAACGCUGGCGGCGUGCUUAACACAUGCAAGUCGAACGGAAAGGCCCUGCUUUUGUGGGGUGCUCGAGUGGCGAACGGGUGAGUAACACGUGAGUAACCUGCCCUUGACUUUGGGAUAACUUCAGGAAACUGGGGCUAAUACCGGAUAGGAGCUCCUGCUGCAUGGUGGGGGUUGGAAAGUUUCGGCGGUUGGGGAUGGACUCGCGGCUUAUCAGCUUGUUGGUGGGGUAGUGGCUUACCAAGGCUUUGACGGGUAGCCGGCCUGAGAGGGUGACCGGGCACAAUGGGACUGAGAUACGGCCCAGACUCCUACGGGAGGCAGCAGGGGGGAAUAUUGCACCAUGGGCGGAAGCCUGAUGCAGCAACGCCGCGUGCGGGAUGACGGCCUUCGGGUUGUAAACCGCUUUCGCCUGUGACGAAGCGUGAGUGACGGUAAUGGGUAAAGAAGCACCGGCUAACUACGUG